GACGAACGCUGGCGGCGUGCUUAACACAUGCAAGUCGAACGGAAAGGCCCUGCUUUUUUGGGGUGCUCGAGUGGCGAACGGGUGAGUAACACGUGAGUAACCUGCCCUUGACUUUGGGAUAACUUCAGGUAACUGGGGCUAAUACCGUAUAGCAGCUCCUGCUGCAUGGUGGGGGUUGGAACGUUUCGGCGGUAGGGGAUGGACUCGCGGCUUAUCAGCUUGUUGGUGGGGUAGUGGCUUACCCAGGCUUUGACGGGUAGCCGGCCUGAGAGGGUGACCGGCCACAUUGGGACUGAGAGACGGCGCAGAGUCGUACGGGAGGCAGCAGUGGGGAGUAUGGCACAAUGGGCGGAAGCCUGAGGCAGCAACGCCGCGGGCGGGAUGACGGCCUUCGGGGUGUAAACCGCUGUCGCAUGUGACGAAGCGGGAGUGACGGUAAUGGGUAAAGAAGCACCGGCUAACUACGUG
rnacentral:rRNA from 1 species